CAAAAACUUCAGGGUCGGGUGAAAUUCCCAAUCGGCGGUAAACCCCGCAAGCCGUAACUGGCAGGAACCGUGUGCAAUUCCGGUGGCGACAGUAUAGUCUGGAUGAAAGAAGUAUAGU
rnacentral:ncRNA from 2 species